rfam:Zymoseptoria brevis strain Zb18110 contig344, whole genome shotgun sequence.
GGUCCUGUGGUCUAGCGGUAUGACGCGUCCUUCACACGGACGAGGUCCCGGGUUCGAGACCCGGCGGGACCU